GCUUCUGUGGCGUAGUGGUAGCACGCGUUCCCACUAUGGAAGGAACGCGGGUUCAACUUCCGCCUGAGGUCA